GAGAGAGAGAGAGAGAGAGAUCGGAUUUUAUUCGCGUUUUAUUCGCGUUUACAUUUUUAAACCGACCGAACCGAAGAUUUCUUUUGACCAUUGCCAUCGUCAGGACGAAAGAAUCGCCACUUAAAUCAUCUGGAUCGCCGAUCCUGUCGUCAGUCUACUUAUUAAGAGCUGAGUGGUCCCACAUCAACAGUGUCCAGAGGCAGUCCUGUAUAUGUGCAUGCCUCCUCCUUGCGUGCUUCUCCUGCACCAUGUACAGCCUCCAAAAAUCAGCCCGCAGCCAUUCUGUCAAGAACAGAGGGUACUGAUGUACCUUCAGUGCCAGUGAAGGCCCCCAUUCCAGUCCCAGUGGAACUUCUGCGCGUGUUUGUGGCGCUCACUGAAGCAGUAGCGCAAACCCCUGCCACACAAGAGCCAGAGACACGACUGGAUGAAGCAGUAAUACAGCCAGCAACAACUUCUCCCCCUCCGCCUCCACUCCCUGGUGUGCCUGGCAAGUACAUAUACUGCCCAGCUAAGGUAUUUUCCAAUACCAAGCACAAGGCAUGGCAAGGGAGAUGACCUGGAGUGAGUUUCAGACCACUGCCUUUUAUGAAAAGGAUAACAAAGAAAACAAAGAUCAAUUAUCUUGAUCAACUGAGAAAGGAAAAUGAAGCACACACGUAUGCACACACAGACACGAGCAUGUACACACACACACAAACGCACACGCAUACACACACGCACGCACACACACACACACACACCCGCACGCACGCACAGACAUGCGCAUGUACACACACACACACGCACACACACAGAUACACACAGUUCUUCCAGGCCCCCACCCCCCAACAUUGAACAUUGGAACAUUGUAAAAUGCCUUUUUUUGGGAAAGGUUUAUAUAUUCUUUCCCUUUGUUUAAGUGUAUGUGCUGUUGCCGCACAGUUUUUUUACAUAGAUGUUGCAUACCUAGUAAUUAAAGAGUUUGUAUUGUAUAAGGGUGUCUUAAUAUGUGUGUGUAUUGGGUACUGUAUCAGGAUGUGUAUGUGUGUCUGUUAAUAUCACUGAAAUAAAAAAAUUAUGUUUGUAUUAAA